rnacentral:rRNA from 1 species
AGUGAACGCUGGCGGUGGGCCUAGCACAUGCAAGUCGAACGGCAGCACAGUAAGAACUUGCUCUUACGGGUGGCGAGUGGCGGACGGGUGAGGAAUACAUCGGAAUCUACUUUUUCGUGGGGGAUAACGUAGGGAAACUUACGCUAAUACCGCAUACGACCUACGGGUGAAAGCAGGGGAUCUUCGGACCUUGCGCGAUUGAAUGAGCCGAUGUCGGAUUAGCUAGUUGGCGGGGUAAAGGCCCACCAAGGCGACGAUCCGUAGCUGGUCUGAGAGGAUGAUCAGCCACACUGGAACUGAGACACGGUCCAGACUCCUACGGGAGGCAGCAGUGGGGAAUAUUGGACAAUGGGCGCAAGCCUGAUCCAGCCAUACCGCGUGGGUGAAGAAGGCCUUCGGGUUGUAAAGCCCUUUUGUUGGGAAAGAAAAGCAGCAGGUUAAUACCCCGCUGUUCUGACGGUACCCAAAGAAUAAGCACCGGCUAACUUCGUG